AGUGAACGCUGGCGGUAGGCCUAACACUUGCAAGUCGAACGGCAGCACAGUAAGAGCUUGCUCUUACGGGUGGCGAGUGGCGGACGGGUGAGGAAUACAUCGGAAUCUACUUUUUCGUGGGGGAUAACGUAGGGAAACUUACGCUAAUACCGCAUACGACCUACGGGUGAAAGCAGGGGAUCUUCGGACCUUGCGCGAUUGAAUGAGCCGAUGUCGGAUUAGCUAGUUGGCGGGGUAAAGGCCCACCAAGGCGACGAUCCGUAGCUGGUCUGAGAGGAUGAUCAGCCACACUGGAACUGAGACACGGUCCAGACUCCUACGGGAGGCAGCAGUGGGGAAUAUUGGACAAUGGGCGCAAGCCUGAUCCAGCCAUACCGCGUGGGUGAAGAAGGCCUUCGGGUUGUAAAGCCCUUUUGUUGGGAAAGAAAAGCAGCAGGUUAAUACCCCGCCGUUCUGACGGUACCCAAAGAAUAAGCACCGGCUAACUUCGUG
rnacentral:rRNA from 1 species